GACGGAGGAUGCAAGUGUUAUCCGGAAUCACUGGGCGUAAAGCGUCUGUAGGUGGUUCAAUAAGUCAACUGUUAAAUCUUGAGGCUCAACUUCAAAAUCGCAGUCGAAACUAUUGGACUCGAGUAUAGUAGGGGUAAAGGGAAUUCCAGUGGAGCGGUGAAAUGCGUAGAGAUUGGAAAGAACACCAAUGGCGAAGGCAGCUUGCUGGGCUUCUUCUGACACUGAGGUACGAAAGCGUGGGAGCGAACAGGA
rnacentral:rRNA from 1 species